rnacentral:piRNA from 1 species
GCUUUCUCAUAGCUCACG